rnacentral:rRNA from 1 species
UACGAAGGGGGCUAGCGUUGUUCGGAAUUACUGGGCGUAAAAGCGCACGUAGGCGGAUAUUUAAGUCAGGGGUGAAAUCCCAGAGCUCAACUCUGGAACUGCCUUUGAUACUGGGGUAUCUGGAGUAUGGAAGAGGUGAGUGGAAUUCCGAGUGUAGAGGUGAAAUUCGUAGAUAUUCGGAGGAACACCAGUGGCGAAGGCGGCUCACUGGUCCAUUACUGACGCUGAGGAGCGAAAGCGUGGGGAGCGAACAGG